rnacentral:lncRNA from 1 species
AGGAAGAAAAAAGAAAACCAUUGCUCUUGAUAUUGCUAAUGCCGGGGGAGGUAAGCUAACGAGAAAGUAGGGAAAAGGAAGGUUUUAGAGUUCACCUCCACUCCUUCCCCUGGCUAACACUCUUUACACUCUUCUGCCUUCCCUUGAGAUAAUUAAAAUAGACUGUACACCGGCCCUAGUCGGUGCCCAUUCCCCCUAACUCUUCACUCAACUACGUGUGUAGUCCGAGGGAGUGAGGACCCCGGGUCCAAGAGCUCAAUCCCGGCCCCGCCCCGUCGGCCCAGGCCCCGGGGCUGGGAGGAGAGGAUGCCUUCGGAGGCGCAGAAUCCGAAAAAGACCAAAUCUCCAGGAUUGUGAAUCAAUCAGAGAAUGUUUAGCAUUUCUGCCGAGAGAUCUUCUGUUAGUCUGAUGGGCUUCCCUUUGUGGGUAACCCGACCUUUGAAUGUUGGCCUGCCUUGCUAAAUUGCGGAAGUUCUCCUGGAUAAUAUCCUGCAGAGUGUUUUCCAACUUGGUUCCAUUCUCCCCAUCACUUUCAGAAGCUGGGCAGAGAAAUCGAGCUGCAAAAUGACCUACAGAUAUUACAGUUUUAUUCUUGGAAAAUGGAGGUUGUCUAUUAGUGUGAUGGUAACAACCAACUAAUAAAAUUUGGAGACUA